rnacentral:rRNA from 1 species
CGCGUGGGAACGUGCCUUCUGGUCUGGAAUAACCCUGGGAAACUAGGGCUAAUACCGGAUACGCCCUUUUGGGGAAAGGUUUACUGCCGGAAGAUCGGCCCGCGUCUGAUUAGCUAGUUGGUGGGGUAACGGCCUACCAAGGCGACGAUCAGUAGCUGGUCUGAGAGGAUGAUCAGCCACACUGGGACUGAGACACGGCCCAGACUCCUACGGGAGGCAGCAGUGGGGAAUAUUGGACAAUGGGCGCAAGCCUGAUCCAGCCAUGCCGCGUGAGUGAGGAAGGCCUUAGGGUUGUAAAGCUCUUUUAUCCGGGACGAUAAUGACGGUACCGGAGGAAUAAGCCCCGGCUAACUUCGUGCCAGCAGCCGCGGUAAUACGAAGGGGGCUAGCGUUGCUCGGAAUCACUGGGCGUAAAGGGCGCGUAGGCGGCGUUUUAAGUCGGGGGUGAAAGCCUGUGGCUCAACCACAGAAUGGCCUUCGAUACUGGGA